GCCCGGUUAGCUCAAUCGGUAGAGCGUGAGACUCUUAAUCUCAAGGUUGCGGGUGAGUGGCGAAUUCCUCCCGUUGUAGAGGUGUUGUUCAAUUGAAUACUGAUCUUGUCCUAGGUUCGACCCCCGCAUCGGGCU